UUAACCUCUGGGUUCCGCCCUCUCCACCUCGACUGCCACCUGCGUGUAUCUGUGCCUGAAUUCCCCGUGAGAACCUCCCGAUACUGCCCCUCCCCCAGGCCGGCCCUCAGGGGAGCCAGCGCCAGGACUGCAAGCGGACACCUGAGGGCGUGGACAUCGCUAGAAGCCACCCUCCUCCCCCUCCUCAGUCUGCAGGGGCAUUAGUUCUAUCCCCAAACCGCCUGUUACUGUCCUCUUCCUGCCCCACAGCCAGGGGCCUCCUGUGUGUGCUGCCUGACCUUGGAGCCUGCACAGCCUCAGUGAAAGCUGCGCUGCAGAUGGGACUCGAACACAGUCUUCCAACUGAAACCGCACAACUUGUCGCAGGACUUAAUGAAGCUCAGGUUCUUUAUGGCUCGGCACAGAAGGAAUUCAGCAAGACGCAAAGUGAUAGGUAAGAAGUAAAUUUAUUAACAUCAUAUGCUUUGUAAAGAGGUUGUGGGAAAAUGGUGCCUGAGAGUGAGACAGGAAGGGGGCAGGGCACAACCUUUAAAAGAGUGACAUAGCCAGACGACACAACAUAAGCUGGUUGGAACGAACUAGGUCCAAAAUGGCGGACAAGUCGACCUCCACUAGACGUUGAGCCUCAGUAUACGCUCAUUGUAAUACGUCAGCACGCUAAAUGACACACCUGCAGGCAACCAGGGAAGGCCAACAAAUGGGUGGGGCCCAAUUCCCAGAAAUCCCCAACCCUCCAAACCUCCUACGCAUUAGCCUAAUUAGGGUAAAUUACCCGGCCCUAUAAAAACCGACAACCCCCAUACCCCUGCUUUCUUGGCUUCUUGCCUCUCUCACCUUCCGAGAUGGCCCACGCUCUGUCUGUGGAGUGUGUUUCUCGCUGAAUAAACCUUCUUUCUCUUUCCUAUGGCUCACCCUCGAAUGCUUUCCUGUGCAAAGCCAAGAACCCAGACUCGAAGGCCAUCCCGGGGACUAGGACCUGACCUGGGAUGUGCCCAUCCUUCCCACCCCACUCUCUCUCCUGCAACAAGAGAAUGGUCAUGUCCCAGGUCUCAGGCGAGUUCCUGGGACGGACGCCAAGUGAGGGGCCUUGGCUUCGAGCGGGAGAGAAUUCAAGAGUGAGCCAUAGUAAAGUGAAAGCAGAGCUCCACAUUCCACAGGCAGAAUGCAGCCCAUUUCAAAAGGCGAGAGCGGCCCUGAAAUAUGGAGUGGUUAGUUUUUAUGGGCUGGGGAAUGUGAUAGGCUGAGUGGGAGGAUUAUUCCAACUAUUUUGGGGAAGGGGCAGGGACU